UACGUAGGGUGCAAGCGUUGUCCGGAAUUAUUGGGCGUAAAGAGCGUGUAGGCGGCCUCGUAAGUCCGCUGUGAAAGUCCAGGGCUCAACCCUGGAAAGCCGGUGGAUACUGCGAGGCUAGAGUCCGGAAGGGGCGAGUGGAAUUCCUGGUGUAGCGGUGAAAUGCGUAGAGAUCAGGAGGAAUACCGAUGGCGAAGGCAGUGCUCUGGGCUAACAUUGACGCUGAGGUGCGAAAGCUAGGGUAGCGAACGGG
rnacentral:rRNA from 1 species